rnacentral:lncRNA from 1 species
ACUAAGAGACAACUUGAAUGCUUUGAAUCCAUUGAAUGCAUCAGAGAGAGCAUAUGGAGAAGAAGAGGCCUGGGGGUUCCAACAGCAAGACCCUGGGUCAGACCUGUGCCCUCUCUGGGCCUCAGUUCCCCCACCUGGAAAGCAGGAAGUGGAAGUUUGUCUGAGUCUCCCAGAAGCCCCUCCUCCUCUCUGCGAGCCUGGAUGUGGUGCCCCCAUCACAGCACAGCCUGGAUGUGGCUGAGCCCUGCCUGCCCAGCAGCCAGGCAUGUGGACUGGAAGACGGUUUCCCGUCUUCGGCAAGCCCAAGCUUCCUGCCUCCUCACAGGAGCGUCCACCCCUCCAUCCACGGAGCAUCCAUGUCCUCAACCUCAGCCUUCGAAACAUUUCAAAUGCUGUAAAAUCACGUGUAGACAUGUGUGUACACACAGGCAUACAUGUUUGCAGGGAGUAUCUGUACCCUUUUUCCUGUUUUGUAAACAUGAGACCACGUCUUCCCAGAGCACCUUACUUUUCCACCACCCCAGACAGGUGCAGCUGGUCCUCUCCAGGGAUCCUGGUGCUCUCCAUCCCCUUAUUUCCUUCCCUCCUGGCUCCUUGGGCAUCAGUGGACGCUCCCCUGUGAGUCUCAGACACUGGGGGACACAGGAUGCGACAAUGGAUCCUGGGGUUCAUGUGACCGUCAUGCUCUAGGGCAGGAGGUCAGCAAGUUUUUCUGAGAAUUUUUUUUAAAAAUAUGACAAAGAAUAUAUUUUUCAUUUCUGGAAAUUAAAUCUGGUUUCCUAGAUCUGCAACAAAUUCUCACAAGCCUGGUGGCUUAAAACAGCAGAAAUGUGUUCUCUCACAGUUCUGGAGGUCAGCGUUUUGAAACAAGGUGUCAGCAGGGCAGUGCUGUCUCUGAUGCAGCAGGGGAGGAUCCCGCUUUGCCUCUUUAGCUUCUGGAGGCCCUUUAGCUUGUCCCAUGUUACUGAACUCUGGCUUGUCCCGUCAUCCCUCAAGAAGCUAAAUACCGAGAGACGAGUGCUGGGCUUUGUCUGGGACGAGGUGCCGCUCCUCCACUGUGAACACAAUUAUCACUCACUCUGUGCAUCAGCCCAUGUUGGACGGUGGUUUGAAAAAAUACUAAUGAACAUUUCCACCUUUUUUGUGGAUCAACUUGGACUAUUUGGUUUUUUCCAGUUUAGUAGGUCUAAGGUGAGAAAAAAUUGUAUGAAGAGUCAGCCACUGACUCUUCUCCUGCGCUGAAACCUCUUGCAGGGAAUCAUCUCAGUGGAAAUCCACCCCUGGCGUGCCCCCUCCCCCACCCACCCCACCCCACCGCCAGGGAACACACUCUAGCCAAAUCGAGUGAUCUGUCGCGUCUUAAAAGGAGAGACUGCUUCAGACCUCCUUUCCUCCUCACACUGUGGUGACGCUAAGGCUAUGUCCUGCCAAGAUGCUAGAACCCUUCCUCCUUCCGGGGACUGGAGUGGGGGGAGGGGCGCAGAUGCCCUGGCAGCGCCUGGGGCAUCAGGACUGUAACCCAGAGCUGGGGCGGAUUCAGUUCCCUAGAAAGCUGACCCCCUCUACUCCCUCCCUUGCCUGCAGACUCCUCUGUGAAAGCGGCAGGCUUUUCAGAGCUUCAUUUCCUUUUUGCCUUUAAUUUACUGCCCUUGUUGGAAGAAUCCUUAUUAUGGAGUCACAGGAAGACCUGUGCAUGGAGUUCCCUCCCACUUACUAGAUCUUGACAAAAGAGCUCCAACUGCAAAAUACUGGAAUCAUUUAGAUAUCCAUGCAAGAACCAAUGUCUUUACAACUGAAAACAUACACGGGCGAGGUUGUAUUAAAAGUAGAAAACGAUUUUUUUUCUUGAUCACAGGGUCAUACUGUUAGGGGAAGCACACUGACACAACCACCCACCCCGGCCAGGAACCCUAGUAACCACUUGUAUGAGCUGUUUUACGACAGGAGGAACUCCUCCAACCCAGGAGUUCGGGAAAGGUCAAAAGGAGAUACCAUGUGUCCGACCACCUUUGGCAAUCCUUUUCUCUGGCAUCCAUCUUGGAUGAACAAGGCGUGCACCACCAGGAAGGACUCUGAGUCAGACUGGCUAUGGACAACCCAGAAACUAAUCCCAUCACCAUAAAACCCAAGACUGUGAGCCAUGUGGCAGAGCUGUUCUCCUGGGUAACCUUACCCUCCUGCUCUCAGCCCCGGCGCCCUUUCCCAAUAAAAAUCUCUUGCUUUGUUCGCACAUGCGUCUCCUCGGACAAUUCAUUCUGAGUGUUAGACAAGAGCCCAGUUUGUGGCCCUGGAAAGGGUCCCUCUUCCUGCAACAAUACCUCUAGUUUUGCCCAUCUGCCAAGAUGCGUGCCAGUGGACUUGCAGAAGGGAUGGAUGUAGGUCCCCUCCCCACCACUUCACUGGCUCCCCCAGAACAGAUUUAAAACAAACAAGCAAUUCUUCCUUGGGAAGAGAGUGGUACAGUCACAAACACGCCAUUCCCACUUCUGCAGUCUCCAACUGGCCCCAGAGUUCCAAACAGCAAGGAAUAUGCACUAACAGGCGGGAAGGGGGCUCCUGGGACGUGCACCCCUCUACUCACUCGGUCAAGAGCUCGGUGCUCCUUCAGAGGCUGUUUCCUUCUCUUAACAGAAAGUGAAAGCACACUGUGAGCAAGGCGUGGGGAGGGCCAGGGCAAUUUCCUGAAUCUAACGGUUCGGCAGCUGCUGGAAAAGACCUAUAGAUCCUCGCUGGGACUAGCUGGCACUCCACUCCUCGCUGGGACUAGCUGGCACUCUUCCCAGUGGCACUCUGCUCCUUGCUCCAGGAAGAAAGGGAGGGGCUGGAGAUGUGGGGACCUAUGUGGCUGGACGUUAAACAUUGUCCCCCAAGUCAGGCCCAGCUGCUUGUCACUGAAGAAGCCAAUACAGAGAGCUAAGUCUUGGGUUUAAGAAAAGCAGCUUUAUCUUAUGGAAGCCGGCAAGAGGGUGUUUCACUGCCCAGAAGAAUCAACCCCCAGCACAGCAAGUCUCAGCUGGGAUUUAUACGAGGAGGGAAACCUAAGGGGCCACAGGCUGUGUGCCAGGGGUGCGCUGUGCUUCUAUUUUGGGAGACCCCUGGGCCACCUUGCUGGAUUGAGAAGGUGAGUGUGGUCCUUACUUUGUUCAGAUCAGCACAUCAGUUCUACUGGGUCAGUGGUCAUAUAUUUUCUAGAGAAAAAGAACUGAGACAGAAACAGCGCUUAAUCGGCAAAGCAAAACUGAAACCAGAACACCAAACUCUGUUUAAGUGUUCAUAAGCCUUUGGUUGAGAACCAAGCAAGGUUACAGUCCGGUGCCGGUGACCUGCCUGACCACCAUGCUCACCAUGUGCCCGUCCUCAGGUCGGGGCACCAAGCCCAUCGUGGGCUUCCUCCUCCACUGGGGCAGCUGCUCUCCACCUGUGUGCCCUUCUCCCUGGGGGCCAGUGAGGACACUCUGAAGGGGGACGUAAUUAACUGGUGCAUGUUCAUCUGGUGCAUCUGCUUCACCGUGACCCUCACCGUCUUCAUAGGGGAGUUUUGUGGGCUCUGCUCCUGCCUCCUUUUCUCCUGGGACGGCUUUCUCUGCACCCACACCUUUUACUUCUCCAUCUCCUGCCUCUGAACGUCCAUCAUCCUCGGCACCACCUACAUCAAGUUCUUUCUCCAGGCUCCACCAGAAACUGGGUCAUCACUGCCACUGCAUUCGCCUUCGUGGCUGCUGCACUGUAUCCACUGAAGCGUUCUGCAUCAUAUCCAGCCUGGAGGCAUGGUCGGUUCAAGCCAGCCUUCCCAGGCCUGCUCAGGAGGCCAGAGAACUAUGCUGACUGGCUCAUCAUCGCCUUCAUCAGCAGCCCCCACCAGUGUCAGCAACAGCCAGCCGUACAUUCGUGGUGGUGGACUUCGUAUGCUUCCUCCUGGAAGGCACUGUGAACUUCAUAGUGAAGGGGUUUGAUCGAGUCAAAGACAAAAAGCUCUGUUCCCUACCUGUGUCCUGUCUGAGCAGACGGUGCUCUCUGUGCUCCUCUGCCCUAGUGCUCUGGUCCUCUGUCAGCUCCACCAGUUCAACAAGAAGCUGGAUGGGCAGCCCCAGCGGUCCAGUGACGUGAGCUGCAGCAACAGACGCACCUGCUCGGUGUGCGCCGGGGACCAGCGGCUGGCUGUGGCCGUCCUAUCCAGCUGCUGCUUGAUGAGGCCGACACUGAGCACCUGGCCUGUGAGGCUAUCGUAGGCUAUUGUAGGGACUAAGAGUCUUGAAGACUGCUGUCUGCAGUGUUGGUGAGGGGCAGUGGUGUGGCCGUCCUGCCUUAAUGAUCAAAACAGCAGGUCCUGCCUCUGCAGGGAGAAGGGCAUCGCCACUGCCAGCAUUAAAGGGGAUGUUAGUCUGGGUGUUUUAUUUUUCUUUAAAUUUUGUUGUCCCAAGAGUAAAAAUUACUGGGCAACUAUAUUUUUACAUGGAAAAUUUCUUUUCAAAACUUUGUUGAUGGGUGGUGUUGGAUGGGUGGGCACUGCUGAUGCCACAGUCGAGGAAACUGUGUUGCUUGAGUUUGUGCUGCACAGACAUGUGUUUCUAUGUGUCAGCUGUUUUCUGAUGCUGCUUCCUGCUUCUCCAGGAUCCACACAUAAUAUGAUCUAGAUAAAUGUAAAUAUACAUGGAUUUUUUAAUUCUCUGGAAUUU